AUUGAACGCUGGCGGCAGGCCUAACACAUGCAAGUCGAACGAGUGGCGGACGGGUGAGUAAUGUCUGGGGACCUGCCCGAUAGAGGGGGAUAACUACUGGAAACGGUAGCUAAUACCGCAUACCAUCGGAUGUGCCCAUAUGGGAUUAGCUAGUAGGUGGGGUAAAGGCUCACCUAGGCGACGAUCCCUACCUGGGCUGAGAGGAUGACCAGCCACACUGGACCUGAGACACGGCCCAGACUCCUACGGGAGGCAGCAGUGGGGAAUAUUGCACAAUGGGCGAAAGCCUGAUGCAGCCAUGCCGCGUGUAUGAAGAAGGCCUUCGGGGUGUAAAGUACUUUCAGCGGGGAGGCGUUACCCGCAGAAGAAGCACCGGCUAACUCCGUGCCAGCAGCCGCGGUAAUUC
rnacentral:rRNA from 1 species